GACGAACGCUGGCGGCGUGCCUAAUACAUGCAAGUAGAACGCUGAAGAGAGGAGCUUGCUCUUCUUGGAUGAGUUGCGAACGGGUGAGUAACGCGUAGGUAACCUGCCUUGUAGCGGGGGAUAACUAUUGGAAACGAUAGCUAAUACCGCAUAACAAUGGAUGACACAUGUCAUUUAUUUGAAAGGGGCAAUUGCUCCACUACAAGAUGGACCUGCGUUGUAUUAGCUAGUAGGUGAGGUAAUGGCUCACCUAGGCGACGAUACAUAGCCGACCUGAGAGGGUGAUCGGCCACACUGGGACUGAGACACGGCCCAGACUCCUACGGGAGGCAGCAGUAGGGAAUCUUCGGCAAUGGGGGCAACCCUGACCGAGCAACGCCGCGUGAGUGAAGAAGGUUUUCGGAUCGUAAAGCUCUGUUGUAAGUCAAGAACGGGUGUGAGAGUGGAAAGUUCACACUGUGACGGUAGCUUACCAGAAAGGGACGGCUAACUACGUGCCAGCAGCCGCGGUAAUACGUAGGUCCCGAGCGUUGUCCGGAUUUAUUGGGCGUAAAGCGAGCGCAGGCGGUUUGAUAAGUCUGAAGUUAAAGGCUGUGGCUCAACCAUAGUUCGCUUUGGAAACUGUCAAACUUGAGUGCAGAAGGGGAGAGUGGAAUUCCAUGUGUAGCGGUGAAAUGCGUAGAUAUGUGGAGGAACACCGGUGGCGAAAGCGGCUCUCUGGUCUGUAACUGACGCUGAGGCUCGAAAGCGUGGGGAGCGAACAGGAUUAGAUACCCUGGUAGUCCACGCCGUGAACGAUGAGUGCUAGGUGUUGGAUCCUUUCCGGGAUUCAGUGCCGCAGCUAACGCAUUAAGCACUCCGCCUGGGGAGUACGACCGCAAGGUUGAAACUCAAAGGAAUUGACGGGGGCCCGCACAAGCGGUGGAGCAUGUGGUUUAAUUCGAAGCAACGCGAAGAACCUUACCAGGUCUUGACAUCCCGAUGCUAUUUCUAGAGAUAGAAAGUUACUUCGGUACAUCGGUGACAGGUGGUGCAUGGUUGUCGUCAGCUCGUGUCGUGAGAUGUUGGGUUAAGUCCCGCAACGAGCGCAACCCCUAUUGUUAGUUGCCAUCAUUCAGUUGGGCACUCUAGCGAGACUGCCGGUAAUAAGCCGGAGGAAGGUGGGGAUGACGUCAAAUCAUCAUGCCCCUUAUGACCUGGGCUACACACGUGCUACAAUGGUUGGUACAACGAGUUGCGAGUCGGUGACGACGAGCCAAUCUCUUAAAGCCAAUCUCAGUUCGGAUUGUAGGCUGCAACUCGCCUACAUGAAGUCGGAAUCGCUAGUAAUCGCGGAUCAGCACGCCGCGGUGAAUACGUUCCCGGGCCU
rnacentral:rRNA from 1 species